GACGAACGCUGGCGGCGUGCCUAAUACAUGCAAGUAGAACGCACAGUUUAUACCGUAGCUUGCUACACCAUAGACUGUGAGUUGCGAACGGGUGAGUAACGCGUAGGUAACCUGCCUGGUAGCGGGGGAUAACUAUUGGAAACGAUAGCUAAUACCGCAUAAUAUUAAUUAUUGCAUGAUAAUUAAUUGAAAGGUGCAAUUGCACCACUACCAGAUGGACCUGCGUUGUAUUAGCUAGUAGGUGAGGUAACGGCUCACCUAGGCGACGAUACAUAGCCGACCUGAGAGGGUGAUCGGCCAAACUGGGACUGAGACACGGCCCAGACUCCUACGAGAGGCAGCAGUAGGGAAUCUUCGGCAAUGGACGAAAGUCUGACCGAGCAACGCCGCGUGAGUGAAGAAGGUUUUCGGAUCGUAAAGCUCUGUUGUAAGAGAAGAACGGGUGUGAGAGUGGAAAGUUCACACUGUGACGGUAUCUGACCAGAAAGGGACGGCUAACUACGUG
rnacentral:rRNA from 1 species